AUUCUACUUUUUCGAGUUUCACAUAUAACUGGCAAGUCUCAAAACAGUCAUUUCACCUGUAUCUCCAGUCUAAAAAAAAAUUCCCUGCUAUAUAAAAUUCCCAUGAACUAUAUAGCAAAUUAGUUGAAUAACCAGCUUUGUAAGCUAGAGACCACUGAAUAACAGCAAUCCCAUUACUGUUUCCAGAGAUAGUCUCACUUAGUCCCAGCGAUGCCAAUUUAUGCAUACUAUUUUGUCAUUUGCCCUCCUGAAGAUGCCUGUGACUAUCUGCUCCAAGCAAUCAAGAGAAAUAAAAUUAUUAGAGCAAACAUUUUGGCUAAAGUGUACUCACCACUGCUGAAACUGUACUAAGAUUGGUAUUGUACAUAAGCAAUCAUCUGUACAAAAAGAGAAGUGUACUCGGUUGCUGUGGUGCACUUCGUUAAAGGCACAAGAACAAGGUGUGAAGAUAAAGUGGGCAACCUUCAUGUGCAUCCAGGAAGACAAGGUCAAUCUCUGAUAAAUCAGAAUACCAUCUUUAACUACGUUCCUCAUUUUUACCAUAAGCUACAAAUAACACCAGUAAGAAUAGAAAAAACAGUACCAGUUCCAAAAUCUGGUGAAAAGAAGCAGCUCAAGCAAUAAUGAAAAACCAGCUUGGACCAAUUUUAUCUAGUGGCAUUGGAAAGUAAAAAAA